rnacentral:rRNA from 1 species
CCUACGGGUGGCAGCAGUGGGGAAUAUUGGACAAUGGGCGAAAGCCUGAUCCAGCCAUGCCGCGUGUGUGAAGAAGGCCUUCGGGUUGUAAAGCACUUUCAGUGGGGAAGAAAGCCUUGGGGCUAAUACCCUCGAGGAAGGACAUCACCCACAGAAGAAGCACCGGCUAACUCCGUGCCAGCAGCCGCGGUAAUACAGAGGGUGCGAGCGUUAAUCGGAAUUACCGGGCGUAAAGCGCGCGUAGGCGGUCUGAUAAGCCGGUUGUGAAAGCCCCGGGCUCAACCUGGGAACGGCAUCCGGAACUGUCAGGCUAGAGUGCAGGAGAGGAAGGUAGAAUUCCCGGUGUAGCGGUGAAAUGCGUAGAGAUCGGGAGGAAUACCAGUGGCGAAGGCGGCCUUCUGGACUGACACUGACGCUGAGGUGCGAAAGCGUGGGUAGCAAACAGGAUUAGAUACCCUAGUAGUC